AAGAAAGUCAUAAAAAAACUAGCUCUAACUGAUUAGAUUGCUUUGUUGACAAGGAAGCAUAGCAACUCGAAAAGAAUCAUUUUCAAAUCAAAUUGCACCAAAAAGUGAAAGAGCAUAGCCAAAAAGGAAAAGUGCUGAGAAGGGUGCCACGUGUCAGCUUGCUGUCUCUGAGGAUGCUCGGGACACAUGAGAAUUCGCUCCCUUUGGAUUCCUGGUGGACUCCUUUGCAACACACGUGCAAUGCCCCGACCCCUGUCACAGGGGUGGAGACGGAGGUACAGAGUUUCUGAUGGUGCUGCCUCCAGACACGAGUUCUUGACUCUUCCUGGCUGUGCUACACGUUUCUCCCAGAAGAGUGACCCAUCACAUUUCACUGUAACUGACGCUUUCUACUCUAAGCUCAGGAGAGGAGGGAUCGUGCUGCCUUGGUCACCGUGGGACUCCCCAGAGCCUGGCACUGAGUGUAUUCUGCGGAAUAGAUGGUAAUGAAAAUGAUAGCACUGGUGAGGCCAAGAGGCCGAGGCAACAGGAAGCUUCCUAAGGAAGCUGGACCGAUGAAGGGGCAGUGACAGAAACUGAUUUGGAGGGGUGGCACUUGCACACAUAAAGCUCUACUAGGCAGAUCUUGCUAUGUAAACCACAGAGGGAAAAUCAACCAUGCUGCAAUAUGCGUCAAACUCAGAAACGUGAAGCUCAGCGAAAGAAGCCAGUCAUAAAGAUCAGCUACAUGUGCUUCCAUUUGUACAAAAUGGCCGGAAUAAGCAAGUCUACAGAGACAGAAAGUAGAUGAGUGGCUGCCUAGGACUGGGCGGAUGGGAAUGACUGCUAAUGGGGUGCAGUUUCUUUUGGGGUGAUGAAAAAGGUUCUCAAAUUGUGAUGGUAUUUGCACAACUAAAAAAUACUAAAAACCACUGAAUUGUACACUUCGAAGGGGUGAGUUAUAUAGUAUGUGAAUUCUAUCGGCUGCUAAAAAAUACAUCAAGGACCAGAAAAUACUUUUAAAACACUAAAAAAAAAGUUAUAGAAUUAAAAAUACUUGAUUAAUGAGAGGAACUCUCAUGACUGACAGGGCAGCUCUGCCCCCCGAUGCACAUCUCAGAUGAUACCAAAUGACUGUUGCUGGGGGAGGAUAAAGAGAAUUUUCACAGCCACAAAAUGUUACUAAGGGAGGGUGUGCAGCUAAACUCACUGUAACCAAAUGCUGCGAAAAUAACUGAAAGCACGUGUGAAUAACAUUGAGCUGUUCUGUGUGUCGGUAGCUUCUUUUCUUGCAGGUGAAACAGAGGUGAUAACCAACCAGUUAACACUGGAGAGCCCAAGGAGAUAAGGAGGCGAUUAAAAGAAGAGCACCAAGGACUCCAGGGCUUUGCUGCCAAAUGUUCCACUUGGCUUGUACCAAACAAGCAGGAUUCAUCCGCAGUGGGCUUCAUCUUAGUUCUGCUUCUAAAAUAGAUGGAAAUUUUUACGGAAAAGUCUUACGGAAAGCUUUAUCCUCAAGUUUGUGUUGCUGUAUAUAACAGCAUUCUCAUCAUCAGCCAGCUGAGAGAGGACUGGUUCCCACAUACAACAGAUGACCAGAACUAAGAGAGAACUCACAUUUCCAGGCCCCAUCUGAGGCCACCCAGGAGUGCCCGGACAUCAGUCAUCCACGUGAAAAGACACUUCUCACUGUGCGCGAAGGAUUACCCAGGUGCUGAGGCCUCACUGACCCACCACUUCUGGCAGGAUGAACACAACAGCAAUUCUUAGUUUGGUAGAAGACCCCUGUCCUGGCCUCUGCUCUCUUCCGAGCCAUGUCUUUCAUUGCCUCUUUCUUAUGGGAACCUCAGUCUCAGGGCAGUACACUGCAUUAGAGCCAAAAGACAAAGAAGAACAACAGCUCCUGUCCUCCGAGAGCUCAUGUUCCACUGGGGAUGAAUAAAACACAAACCCAGGACAAGUUAUGUAAUGGCCCUGGCAGUGGAAAGAUGAUCGCAGCUGCAAGUAGCAAAAUGACUCUGAGAUGCCACCUGCUUUGGAGAAGGCAGUUCUGCAGGAAGAGAGGAGUGAGUCAGCAGGCAAGGAACUACUGAGAGCAGCUUAUGCGUGUCCAGCACAGUGUCCCAACAUGAGUUUACAAAAGAACGGGACAGCAGUGGACGCGGAGGGAGAUGAGAAGUGGGCGUCACAGGCUUCAGCCAACGCUCUGCAGCCCACUCCAUCUUCACUGCCACAGGCCCAUGAGACAAGCCUCCAAAGGCCUUUGGAUAGUCAGUGCUGGCGGGAAACGUCCAGAGAGAUCUGUAAAAGGUCAAAGCACACUUGAUGACGUUAUCACAUGCCUGUGCUUAAUGAUGAGUGAGGGACCACUGUACCCUGCGCCCGUCAGCACCUAGGUCUCAUGUCCCAGUUGAAGUGAGAUGUACAGAGUCAUCUCCCUGGUUACUGUUCGUCAGAGCUGGGGAAUGGGAAUACGCCACACAAUGGACUAAAAAUGCUUCAGGAGCGUAAGAUCAUAUUGACUUUCCCAGAGUGAAAGUAACUUCAACUGGUACCAGCGUGACCACAGUGACGUCCCAGAAUGAGGGGAUAGCCGGUCAGAAAAGAGUGAUACUGACCCUCCCCCACUUCCAGCUCAUGCAGCACUUCUCAUCCCUAUGUCUCCACCGAAACCCCUUUCAAAAGUGAACUCAUUCUGCUGAAUCCAGUGGUCUUCUUCCAGUCAUGAUCUCCACCUGGCUUUUUUUUUCAGGGGGUGGGGGUAGUAACAUCUGAAUCCGUUCCUGAAACACCUACUUUCCUGAAACAGGCUCCCUGGCCACUGAACUGGUUUUCUCCUUGGACCCUGGGUGUUCUUUUUUUUUUUCCCUCUCUUUGCACUCUCUAAACAUGGGUCUUACUUUCUACUGUUCUCUCAGAGUAUCUGUAGUUCUUUUUUUUUAAAGAUAGAGAUGGGGUCUCACUGUGUGGCCCAAGCUGGUCUCAAACCCCUGGGCUCAAGCAAUAUGCCCACCUGGUUGAGAUUACAGGUGUGAACCACUGCGCCUGGCCUCUGUAGAUGUUUCCAGCCCUGAUUAUUCAUCUGUAUUCAGUUUGCCUAAAGUCUUUCUGUAUCUAUUUAUUACGCUCAUAUUUGCUCAUUAAUUCCCACAGUUCCUAACAACUGCCAGGCAUUAUUCAUAUACUGGAGAUACGGAGAAAACAAGUCUGCUCCUUCCUGAGACACACUGGGGGAGACAGGGCAGUGAAUCAGCAGUAAGCAUCAGGUUAGCGGCGCCACGAGAGACACGCAGUGGCUACAGGGGUAGAGAGAGCCCUGGAAGCCCCCUAGGAAGCUGGGGAAGGCUUCCCCAAGGAGGCAAUAUUUGUCAGGAAAGCCAAGGAAAUAGGAGCUAGGCAAGGGAAAAAGAUGUAUAUAUGGGAGGGGUGGGGGGAAGUUCAUUCUGGGCAGAGAAAAGGGAGUAUGUAAAGGUGAGACUGUGUGAAACAACACGAGCAGCGGUGAACUGCGAGUAACCCAGAGCGGCAUGGCUGGCCUAAGGGCUUGCACGUGUCAGCAGAAAGGAGAUGCGGCCACAGAGCAGGCAGGAGCCUUGUGUUGGAACCACCCUGAAAGCUAUGGAGAGGCCCUGAAGGAUAAUAGCUGGAGUGAAACAAUCAGAUUUGUGUUUUCACAGAGAUCACUGGUGGAGGCUGUGGGGCAGGCUCAGGAGGGAGGCAGUAGGUGACAGAGAUGGAAGGGAAGACAUCCAGGCAAAUGGCGCCAGUGGCCUGAACUACAGCACUGGAGAUGACAGACAGACUUACAUCAAGGAGGGAGACUCCUUGGGGCUGAACUAGUGGGGAGGGCAGGAAGGACAUGGAUGCACAAGACGGAAACGCCUGGGGUGAAACCUUAGGUUUGGACUUUCGGGUAAAUGAUGGUUCCUCAGGUAGGGAGUGAGAAAGGGAAACGAAUUUAGCAAAGAAACAGUACAUUGGCUGUGCGCGGUGGCUCACACCUGUAAUCCUAGCACUUUGGGAGGCCAAAGCGUGUGGAUCAUGAGGUCAGGAGUUCAAGACCAGCCUAGCCAACAUGGUGAAACCCCAUCUUUACUAAAAAUACAAAAAUUAGCCGGACGUGGUGGCGAGCGCCUGUAAUCCCAGCUACUCAGGAGGCUGAGGCAGGAAAAUUGCUUGAAGCCAGGAGACAGAGGUUGCAGUGAGUAAAAAUUGUGCCACUGCACUCCAGCCUGGGCAACAGAGCGAGACUCUGUCUCAAAAAAAAAAAAAAGAAACGGUACCUGCCAAGAGCCGAUGGGACAAUGAAGUGGAGAAGUCUUAUAGGCACUAGGAUAUUUCGGUCUGGGGCCCCAGGAGACAGGGAGGUCCAUUCUCUGGAUCCUGAGGGACUCACAGGAGCCAUGAGCUCAACAAAGUGGUGAGGACAGAGGCUGAGUGGGUCCCCUUAGGUGUCUAGCAUGAAAAGCUCAGUAGGCAGAGAACUGAGUCUUGGGAAACAACCUAUUUAGGGAGUGAACAGAGGAAGAAGAGCUCAAUCCAAAGUUCAGCAUCAGCCCAGCCAAGGCACUCCUCUGAGAGCUGGGCUUUAGAAACCUCCUUCUAUUUGUCUCCUCCUCUGGGGUUUCUCCUCUUCCCUGUCCAUCUUACACACUGCAAUAAAAUGACAUUUUUCUGAGAUAACUGUCCUAUCUUUGUUACUGAAUAAACCAUUUUUCGUAACCAAUGUCCAAGCCGAAAUCUACCGUCAGGUUUAAACUACCUCCCUCCAUUAUAAGUUACUAGAUCAUUCCCCAUUUCUCACUACAUAUCUGCCCACAUGUCAGUCAGAGGGCUCCUGGAGGCCUCUCCUUUUUAGGGUCUCAUUAGCACCUCCAUGCCUCACUCUUGCUGGUCCUCUCCUCUGGAAUGAUGUGCCUUACCCUCUCUACCCAUCCAAAUUCCACCCAUCCUUCUACUUCCUGAAAUCUUUUUUGGCAGCAUCAGUCCACACCAGUGGCUCUCUCCUCAGCUUUUCACUGCAUGGAUGCUUCAGUAAGUAUUUCCUUGUUCUUGGAUGUUCAUCUAUUUCAAGUACAACUGCCUGAGCUCCCUGAAGCUGGCCACAAACUCACAGAGGGAAAGGACAUGUUCUUCAUUUCUUUUGUGCCCACAGAGAAGCCACCAGUAUUGGUCAGAGAGCUUCCCAAGCAGUCUGUGCCCCCAGAGUCACACGAGGAGCACAUGGCAGGGGGUGGCAGCAAGCACCUGCCGGAUGGCAGGAUGAACUCUAGCAUAAGCAGGCAAGAGAAAACUAAAGAAAUACAACACUGAAUCAAGACUUGAGUGUUAUUUUGGAAUACCUGAAAUGAAAAACUGCAGACAGAUCAUGUGUAACAUACGGUAGUUAGUAACUGAAAAAAAUGACAUUUUGACUAAAUAAACUCAGAUUCUAUGAAAAGCAUCUAAAAAUCAACAGUUUUUAAAUAAAUAACAGCUGCAUUUUAAAUGAAAUACACAGUAUGAGAUUGGCUACAAAAAAAGAUACAGGAGCAAACAACAAAAACAUAUAUUUGAAACAUAAAGAAGAAGAUGGAAGCAAAAGUUCUUACUUAACCCUAAUUAAACCUGAAGCCUGGCACUGAGUUUCCUGCCAGCCAAAGUGAAAAGGGGAAAAAAAAAAAUCACCAAGGAGCUCUCAUAUUGGGAGGUAUAUGAGUUAGGGAUCAGAAACAGAGAUCUCAGAGUCAGACACAGCUGGAUCUCACUUCCAGAUCCCCAUCAGCAGCUGCCCCUGGACAAGCAAGCACUCCCCUGAACCUCCGGGGCCAUGAGGGAACCCCUGCAUGGGCAUAAAUGAGAUAACAUAUACUGAGUACUUACUAUAGGACUGGCACAAUAAAUGGUGGUGGUCUUUUUACUGAUAAAGAGUGAAACAUGCUAAUUCUGCAAGAGAGACAGGA